CAAAAACUUGUUUGAAGAACAGGUCGGAUUCGAUUAUCCAGAGUCAGGUUCUGACGUUUUCCAAAAUAAUAUCUCGCAAACGGAAUGCUGUAGGAAGCUGAAAUUUGGACUGAUCACUAAUCAAAGUUGGCUUGAUAAAACGUCAAAAUUUCAGCUUUAUAGAGCAUCCUGUUCUCCAGAUAUACAAGCAAAGAAUUUAGAGCUAUUCAAAACUAUGUUAAUUUUUGUUGGAUCAAAUAACGUUUUUUUAUUGUUUUAAAAAAGUUAUUAGUUAAAACAACUUAGAUUUGUUUUAAAACAAAGCGCAAAUAUUUUUUAUUUUUUGAGCACAUGACGUGCCACCGCCAUUUUGUUUUCGAAAAUAAACAGCAGAAGUGAAGAUGAUUGCACCAAAAGUAGUCAGCAUUUAAGCAGUGGAUAAUUAUUCCAAGUACUUCGUUGUUCUAUUGUAGGCUUAGUUCUAAGAAUCUGCACUCCAAAACACGAAUGCCGGGUAAACGGACCGUCACAGAGACUGCUAGAAGACCUCCCACAUUAUAUGAACAACCAAUCUGCAUCAUGUUGCAAGAAAACAGAAACUACAUAUAAAAUAAUCAUCAAAAAUAAAAUAAACAAUAAAUUUGUUUUUUUCUUUUUUGAUGCACAAAACAAAUAAACAUAGCAUUCCAAUAAAUAAAAUUCAAUUUGAUUUAAUGCGAAAUGCUUCUCCAACAAAUGAAUGUAAAGCAUUCAUUUUGGUGUUACAAAAGAUAUAGAACAU